rnacentral:rRNA from 1 species
AGGCUUAAACAUGCAAGUCGAGCGGAGCGAGGGUGCUUGCACCUUAGCUUAGCGGCGGACGGGUGAGUAAUGCUUAGGAAUCUGCCUAUUAGUGGGGGACAACGUUUCGAAAGGAACGCUAAUACCGCAUACGUCCUACGGGAGAAAGCAGGGGAUCUUCGGACCUUGCGCUAAUAGAUGAGCCUAAGUCGGAUUAGCUAGUUGGUGGGGUAAAGGCCUACCAAGGCGACGAUCUGUAGCGGGUCUGAGAGGAUGAUCCGCCACACUGGGACUGAGACACGGCCCAGACUCCUACGGGAGGCAGCAGUGGGGAAUAUUGGACAAUGGGGGGAACCCUGAUCCAGCCAUGCCGCGUGUGUGAAGAAGGCCUUUUGGUUGUAAAGCACUUUAAGCGAGGAGGAGGCUUACCUAGUUAAUACCUGGGAUAAGUGGACGUUACUCGCAGAAUAAGCACCGGCUAACUCUGUGCCAGCAGCCGCGGUAAUACAGAGGGUGCGAGCGUUAAUCGGAUUUACUGGGCGUAAAGCGUGCGUAGGCGGCUUUUUAAGUCGGAUGUGAAAUCCCCGGGCUUAACUUGGGAAUUGCAUUCGAUACUGGGAAGCUAGAGUAUGGGAGAGGAUGGUAGAAUUCCAGGUGUAGCGGUGAAAUGCGUAGAGAUCUGGAGGAAUACCGAUGGCGAAGGCAGCCAUCUGGCCUAAUACUGACGCUGAGGUACGAAAGCAUGGGGAGCAACAGGAUUAGAUACCCUGGUAGUCCAUGCCGUAACGAUGUCUACUAGCCGUUGGGGCCUUUGAGGCUUUAGUGGCGCAGCUAACGCGAUAA